UCGGGCUCUGUAACACCUCUUCCUACAGACAGUAGGGGGUGGCAGUACAUAUGGCGUACAGUCAGAACAAAACAGGAAGACCCAACAGAAUUCUCUUUAUUCUCCUCUGGCCCUUUCCUCUGUUCUUCAGCCCCAACAGCAUCUCAAGAUAUUUUCACCUGUGUAAAAAUCAGGAAAAGGGCACAUACGAAAAAUACUUCCCUUUGCCUAAUGAUCUUGAACUCAUAAUUAUGGUCAAGACGUUUGGGGUUUUGUUUAUUAGUGUCUUUUCCUGGAGAGGAGCAGAGAAGAGAGUGAAGGACACCCGAAACACCAAAUCUUCUUCCUAAUGUUAAUUAUCAUUGUUUAUGUUUGUGAAGACCAUUUUAAACAUUUCACACCUGGAAGUGAAGACUGGAUACAAUUGUACCCGUGCUCUACACACUGACGGCAAAACCUGGAAUUAUUUUAGCCCUAUUUUUGCUUUCCCAUCUCAAAGCCAGACACAAUUUGCUUUUUUUCUUUCACGUGGUUACUUUAUCUCAAAGAAGAAAAAAAAAAAAGCUUAUCAUAGCUCUUCUCGAUUUCCUAUGGCAAAAUAUCUACCAAGGAGCUUUAUUAAUCUUUCAUUAUGCUACACCUCCUUUCCCAGAGGAAUUAUUAAUAUCGCUAAUAACACUUCUACCAUGAAUCUCAACGCCACACAGGCCAGCCCACCCUGUGCCUCACCUGGCACAUUUCACAACUACUUUUAUGCUGCAUUCUGGGGGCACAUUUUGCAACUCGUUCUGCACCACAUUCCCUGCCACGUUUAGCAAUCCGCCUCGCAUCUUAUCCUGGGUCCCCGUCAUCCGGAGACGCUCUAGGUACCAAAUUCCAUGACACCUUCGGUGACAGCCAAGUGGCGACCCCAGACGCCUCUGAAGCCCGCCUUGGUGUCACAUUCGAAGCCAGCCUUCCCCACGCCUUGGACACCGAGGCACUUCGCUGCCCAUUUCGCUGUCUCCCCGCUCGCCCCCGCCCCUCUCCCCGGAGCCGAGGCGGUGGAGGCGAACGCCCCUGUCACUGAAGCGACCUCUCCUCGCCCUGCUCCCCGGGCCCUUACCUGAAGCUCUGAGGGGCUCUCUGCACCUCCGGGUUAAGCCCCAGUCCCCGGGGUCUCCUCUGAGGACCGCGCCGCCCGCCGGCGCCGCCUGCGAUUCCCGGAGCACCUCGCUGCCCUCCGACGCCCCGCGGCGGGUCUGCGCCCCGGAACAGCGCGGCGGGGCCUCGCACCCGGCGAGUGCAGCCCGCGGCGGUGCUCCUGUCAGCGGCGGCUCUGGGGGCCAGCUCUCGCCCCUCGACUAGGCUCGGCUCGGCAGCGGCGGCGGCGGAGGGCGCCUCGCUCCGCCUCGCGCGCGGCACAGCCGGGAGACACAUGGUCUUGCUAUGUUGUCCAGGCUGGUCUGGAACUCCUAGGCUCAAACAAUCCUCCCACCUCGGCCUCUCAAAGUGCUGGGAUUACAGGAGCGGAAAGCGAAUGAGAGACAUAAGAAUGGAAUUUGCAGAUUGUUCUUUCCUUGCAAGAGACAUCAGCUGAAACACGGUCUUUAGCCAUAAUGAAAACACAUUUUUAAAUUCCUUGCUUAUUCUGGCAAGAUAAAAACAAGUUGUAAUGAAACCACUUCUGUCAAGACUAGAAGCUUUGGCCUUAUCACCAUUGUUAAAAGCAAUCCAAGAAAUAAUAUUUAAGGCUAAUUUUGUUGCCCUUUUGAAGAGACUUUUGAAAUCAUGAAGAAAGAAAAAAAAAAAAAAGAGCCCAGACAAUAAGCUGGAUUGGAAGGACGAGUUCCUCCUUGGCAGCCAGUGUCGAAUUACACUGUCCCCAGUCUGUGGAUAAAACAGAAUUGUGCUCUUCAGUCUGCCAAUCCCUUACUUGACAACCACUACAAAAAUGUAACAAUAACUGAAACUGACAGCCCACUUCACCAGAUUGAGAGUACAUCCGAACUUCUACAGAAAGACAGCUGGAUUAGAGUUCAUUUCCCUGGAGGCUGGGCUGCAGCAAUACCUAAUGAAAACGACGAUGGGCACGUAUUUAUUUCCAAGGCAUUUGUAGCCUGCACUCUGGUUCCAGUCUUAUCGCAGAAGCAAGAUCAAUUUUCACGUCUUUUCACUAAAUGGAUGGGAUUCGAAAUUACUCCUAUUGACAAUAAGCAUUCUCAAGGGCUGUGGUAAUUGUGUAGCCCAGCGCAGCAGAAAAGAGGUGCUAACAAAAGCACAUAGACAAUUGGUUACCAUCAAUUUCCUGUGGCGUUGGCACAUGUGAGUAAAGCAGAAAAAUAAAUAAAUAAAUGCAGUCCUGGGCAAAGCCUAUGCCUUCUCCAUUAGUAGCAAAUCCAACCAGUAGAAUGCAGGCGGCAGGGGAUUUCUCCCCCAGCAAGCUCUGAAAAGUGUGCGGCACCCCAAAUCAUGGCCAGGAUUUGUGGACUGAGAAACCAAGGGCUUAACCUUCUGCCUGGUCAUUUCUGCAUAUCCGCUGCCCCCGCCCUCAUCACACUCCAUUCCUCCCAUCUUUUAUUCUGCCCCAUUUGUGAGAUGAGUGCCAAAUGACCUCUUUGACAAUGGACCAGAAUGGACAGCUUCAUUUUCAUUCCCAUCUUUAAAGGUUUGACCUAUGUGAGACGCUUAGAUUAGAAACAGCUCCUGGCUCCUGCCUUCGUAUUGGUUUUGUCUCAAAUGCACUGGCCUAUAUAACAGGAACAAAGAACGAAGACAAAAGUAAGCCCACUGGUGAGGCUUCUAGAGGUGCCCUGUUUUGAAUCUCCCAUCUGUCAUCCUGGCUCCCAGACAUGCUGCCUGAUGCCCCUUAACCCCUCCCAAGCCUGCCUGCACUCCUUCGCUACUGCGCUGACCUCCACAUACUUUGAGUGCUUCUUGUCCUCCUGGUAAACCUCACAAUGUCCCGUCUCAAGCCACUCAGAACCCACUGUGACUGUGGCUCCAGCACCUGCCACUUAUUCAGAGACAAAGGCACCUGUGUGCAUCUUCUGAAAAGCUGGGCUCAUACGUGCCUGAUAAACAUCCUUCUGCCAACUUUCCAGGUUGUGGUGGUUUCCAGUCACCAUGUCUGGCCCACGCUGAAGGGGAGUGGAUUCCAUGAGGGCUGAAAGCCAGGAGUGGGGACCACAUCAGUGACCAUCCCAGAGGCUGCCUACUGCAACGAGCAGUCUUCAUCACCAGCCAACACUGUGGAUGCUGUUAUUUAUAGUAUUUCAAAGAUGAAGACACUGAAUUUUAAAAGGAUUAAGUACCUGCCCAAGGCUGUACAACCAGAAAGUUGCUGCAGGUGUGUGGAAGCAAGGCCAGGCAUCUUCUUGCCAGGCAAUCAGCUCAACCUGCAAAGUCACGUUGGCCAAGGCAAAGGGCACUGCAGGGUGGGUGGCUUCCUCCCUUAUCUUAACCGUACGUGGACGUCAGCUCCUGUCUCUUCUGUCACCCGCUGAACCCCUGAGUCCCAGCACAGAUUAGGAAGGAUGGAUUUCUCACCUGUGGCAGCAGGCUCAUCAGAGCAUGAGGUCCACAGUGCGUGCCUCGUUUAUCACAUCGGCCCACAUUUUAAAACAAAAUAUCUCUGCUAUACCGUGUAAUUAUUUCUCCAUGUUUGCAUUGCUCAGAGCCAUGAGGGCACUGUGUCUUGUUCUUCAAAUCCCCUACAGUUUGCCUUGCACUGCCUUAAGCAGGUAUUAAAAAAACAAAAAACUUGGUGAAACUAAACAUUUGCUUCUACCAAAUUCAAUGAGAACUGCUGCUGCAGUGAAGUGGAAAGGACUGGCUCUGACCCCCGGGCUCAGUUCUUCAGCUGCUGCUGAACUCUCAGUAAAUUCCCUAACCACAUGAAUGCACUAUUCUUGCUAGUGAAACAAGUUGGCUAGAUGAUCUUUAAAGUUUUUUCUAGCUCUGAAAUGUCACAAACUACAAAGCCAGGACAAGAAUUAGGAGCCUACAUAGAAAUGGUCAAUGGCGGGAGCCACGGUGGCUCUGGCCAGUUGUCCUGGCACUUCAAGAGGCAAGGCUAUGAGUUCAAGGCCAACCUGAGCAAUAUAACAAGCUCCCAUUGAUUAACAAAAAAAAAAAAAAAAAAAAAAGAAAUGGUCAAUGGAUCUGAUACGGAUGCAGGCUACUACUUAGACAGACCUGAUAGACAACUGUUCUGGGUUCCAUGUUGCCCAGAUGCCAAUUCAUUAAUGUGGAUCUCAAGAGAAGUUCAACUCAACUCUCUUGUGGUAUCUGUAUGCCAUAGAGACUCCAUGAGCUUAAUUUUCUUCUUCACCAAGAUCCCUCUCCAAUGCUAUGUUAGGAACCUAGAGAGACUUAAAAACUCUCAAAGCAAUAGGAGCUCAACUAGGGCAUGAUUGGUUCAGCUGCCAGAGUGCCAUUAGGGAUCAAGAGAGCAGCAGGACUCACAGGGGACAAGAAGAUCCGGAACUUCCACAAGAUGUUGAUGGAAUUAAGAUGCCUGGACUGAAUCACACUGUCAGUUGUGAGCAUGUUUGGAGGUGGUGCCUAGGAAUAAAAAACACAGCUCAGAGUUUUGCCAUCUGACGGUGAAGGAGCUGAGGUAUUUAUAUACCAACUCCCUCAGUCACUGGUCGAGGGCUGCUCCGGGGUGAGGGUGGGUGGUUGUUUCUCAGAACUUCUGCUUUCUACAUGGGCAGGGACGACCACAAUCCAAGAAAGCUCUCAGGGGAAGAUGUAUAAGUGCUGACAGUUGGAAGCCAAGCCGGCAUGUGCUGAAAUGUAGAGGCUGAGAGGCUGUGGGCAGGACACCAGCAGCAUCUGCUGCACUUAGCUCCCCAGAGCGUGUGAGAGGAAGUAGACUCCCUGUUGCUCCUGAGAAUCACCACCAGCUUUUAUUGAUAAAUGUCUUCUAUGCGUAUUUUCUAAAGAAGAAGAAGGAAGAGGAUGAGGGGAGGGAAGGAAGGAGGGAGGAAGGAAGGAAGGAGGAGGGAAGUAAGGAAGGAAGGAAGGAAGGAAGGAAGGAAGGAAGGAAGGAAGGAAGGAAGGAAGGAAGGAAGGAAGGACUUGUCAUUAGGGAAGUAAAGUAUUUUCCCUCAAAAACAGGCAUCAUGGCCAGGCAGGGUGGCUCAUGCCUGUAAUCCCAGCACUUUGGGAUGCUGAGAUGGAUGGAUCAAGAGGUCAAGAGAUUGAGUCCAUCCUGGCCAACAUGGUGAAACCCUGUCUCUACUAAAAACACAAAAAUUAGCUGGGCAUAGAGGUACACACCUGUAGUCGCAGUUACUCAGGAGGCUGAAGCAGGAGAAUCGCUUAAGCCCAGGAGGCAGAGGUUGCAGUGAGCCAAGAUUGUGCCACUGCAGUUCAGCCUGGCAACAGAGAAAGACUCCAUCACAAAAACAAAACAAAAACUAAAAAAUAGGCAUCAUAUGCCUCCAUUUGGCCCUGCCCACUUGGGCACCUUCCAGAUGGUCUCACUACCUCCCCACAGUCCACGAGGUACACAGGGAUCUGUAGAAACUUUCAAAAAGCAUCUAGGGGCGAGCCUAUGCCAAACAUGGGAAUCUGCCGCUGGUGGAUUAAAGAUCAUCGUGAAAGUAAAGGCUGUACACAUUAGCAUGUAUAUCCCCAUCCACUGAAAGUGAUGAGUGGGGAUAUUUUAAAAAGGCUUUUUAUUAAUCUAUUUGUUGUGGCCACUGGCUCCAUUUCUUCAUAGCUCUACAUUAAGAAACAUUUUGAGGGAAAACACUUCACUUUUCUAAUAAAUCUUUACAGCCAUUUUUUAGGUUUGCAGAAAAUGCACAUAGAAGAUGCCAAUAAAAGCUGGUGGUGAUUCUCAGGAGCAAUGGAGACUCAACUUCCCCUCACAUGCUUCAGGAAGCUAAGGGCAGCAGAUGUUGCUGAUGCCCUGGCCAUCGCCUGCCAGCCUCUACAUUUCAGCACAUACUGCCUUGGCUUCCAACUACCAGCACUUAGCAUCUCUGCCUGAGAGCUUUCUUAGGUUUUGGUAGUCCCUGCCCAUGUAAAAGGCAGAAGUGCUAAGAAAUGGCCACCCACUCCCACCCCUGAGCAGGCCUGGACCAAUGACUGAGGGAGUUGGUGUAUAAAUACCCCAGCUCCCUCACCCUCAGGUGGUAUAACUCUGAGGUAUGUCUUCUGUGCUGCCUCCCAGGGAUCCUUGGGAGGAUUUAGGCCCACUGACCCACAGUAGUAACCUACUUGAUGAUGUAUCUCUUUUUUUUCUUUUUUUGAGAUGGAGUUUCACUCUUGUUACCCAGGCUGGAGUGCAAUGGCGUGAUCUCGGCUCACCGCAACCUCCGCCUCCUGGGUUCAGGCAAUUCUCCUGCCUCAGCCUCCUGAGUAGCUGGGACUACAGGCACGUGCCACCGUGCCCAGCUAAUUUUUUGUAUUUUUAGUAGAGACGGGGUUUCACCAAGUUGACCAGGAUGGAUGUAUCUCUUAUUGAUGUCCUCCCCUUCCCUGUGCCACUUCCUCACACCCCGUUGGUGUUUCCUGACAUUACCUCCCUAGCAAACCAUUUGCACUUAAACCUUAUCUCAGGGUGUGCUGUGGGAGAACUUAAACUUCUACUAGGGUAAUGGGAAGCAACAGAGAAAAUAAUUGUUAUUUAAAGAAGGAUUUCUGUAAGCAAUGUAUUCCCAUGGUGCAUUUCAAAAUUUAUUUAUAGCUCAUUACCUUCCUUUACAAAAAUGCUAUCGGAUAGAUUAGGUAAGAAGUGCUGGCCAGGCACAAUGGCUCAUGCUUAUAAUCCCAGCACUUUGGGAGGCCAAGGCGGGCAGAUCAUGAGGUCAGGAUUUCGAGACCAUCCUGGCCAACAAGUGAAACCCCGUCUCUACUAAAACUACAAAAAUUAGCCCAGAGUGGCGGUGUGUGCCUGUAAUCCCAGCUACUCAGGAGGCUGAGGCAGAAGAAUUGCUUGAACCCAGGAGGUGAAGGUUGGAGUGAACCGAGAUCGCACCACUGCACUCCAGCCUGGGUGACAGAGCUGAACUCCUCAAAAAAAAAAAAAAAAAAAGAAGAAGAAGAAAUGCUGCCAACUAAAGGCCAGUCAGAAAUGAAAUGAAGAUAAAACAUCUCUGUAAUGGUCACAAAGGUUACUAAGAACAUUGGCUUGAUUUACAAAAAUUCUGUGUACUCAUGACUUCCCUUUGUCAUGAGCAAUGCAGCAUACCUUUAGUGAUAAGCAUCUGCAGCAUCCCUUGAGACCCAUGUCCAUGCAGUCACCUGGAAAUAACAUAUGACAGGGGACAAGGGCCUCUUCAGAGCAGACGAUGCCAUGGCUUGACAGUGCCCACAGUGGAUCAUCUGAUUUGCUUCUAGCAGCAUCUGGUUCCAAGGCUGCCCAAGUGCAGAGCAAUGGGAGAGAGAGGAGCAGAGACAUUGUAACUUGGAGGGCAACUGAAGAGGAAGCAGCUUACAGUAUGUGGGCUCAAUUUUCCCCAAAAAGCUCAUAAUGUAACUGUCAAAAAUGACACUAUGAACUCAAAUUAUAAGAUAAUUGCAUUCAGUACCAAAUUCAACACAAUAAAGGUUAUUUGCUCUCAUGCCUUAGCAACCAUCUCAUAGAGGAGAGAAAAAUACCAUACAAAAACAAAAUGUAAACUCACAAAGCAGUAAUAAAACCAGCACACAGCUAUUCAUUUCAAGUCUAUUUUGAAGAGCCUUUGAUAAUACCAGUAAUUCCCCAUAAAGCUUCUAUUCUCUUGUCACAAUUCCCUUCUGGAGAUAGAAAAAGGUUUUGCUGUUCUACAGCCAUUCCUUUUAGGGAGAUAUAGUCUGAAGUCCACUUUAUUUCCCAAUUUUAACGUUCGUCAUUCUUUAAAAAGAAAGAAAGAGAGAAAGAAAUCCCCGAUCACCUACAUCCAACUAAGCCUCCCAUAUAGGUAGGGCUUAGUGGCAAUAUUAAUGUUAAUCUUCCUUGUCUUACACCACAAAAUUCAUUUAAUGGUCUCAACAAAGUGCUUAAGCUAGCCCGAGAGCCUUGUCCAAAAGAUGCGGAAAUAUUCCACUAAAAAGUUGAAAAUUCCACCAACAGUCCACCCAUUUCCAGAUACUCUGAUGCUUCAUAGAAUAUAGGCAGGGCAUUAGUUAGUUAGCCCUUUGAUGUCCUAGCUGAGCAGUUCCUCCAGGUACUACUGACAGGCCUAUCCUACAACAGAGGCCAGGAGGAAGGGGCUUGGGGUACCUUUGGUUGCAGGAACAGAAAUCUACUCAGACGAGUUCAAGUAUAAGGAGGAUGGUUGUAAGAACUUCAUAAACUCCAAGGAAAAGCUGAACGAUCAGGCCUCAGGAAGAAAGGGAACCAGCAGCUGUCACUCUUGGGGAGGGAUGUGGUAGAGAAAGGAGACAGAAACACCUAGAAGUGUGUGCAUGCAUGGGCAAUGGUUAGACUCUUUUUUUUUUUUUUUUUUUGAGACAGAGUCUCACUCUGUUGCCCAGGCAACAGUGUAGUGGUGUGAUCUCAGCUCACUGCAACCUCCGCCUCCUGGGUUCAAGUGCCUGCCUCAGCCUCCCUAGUAGCUGGGAGGGACUACAGGUGCAUGCCACCACACCCGGCUAAUUUUUUGUAUUUUUAUUAGAGACAGGGUUUCACUGUGUUAGCCAGGAAGGUCUUGAUCUUCUGACAUCAUCAUCCACCCAUCUCAGCCUUCCAAAGUGCUGGGAUUAUAGGUCUGAGCCACCGCGCCUGGCUCAGAUUCUUUAAUAUAGGAAGAUAAACAGGAAAAUAUAGAAGAGGAAGAGAAGGUGGGGAAAGAAGUCAGAUAAUAGGAACCAAAGAGAAAUGGAAGAGAUGCAUAAGCUGAGGAGUCAUGACAUGUCAUCCACAAUGGCUUUAGCCAGCAGUCCACAGCUCACCAGCAAGGCACUGGCUGUCCCUGAUGUAGAUCCAGCCUGCGUAAGAGACAGAGGUUGCAAAUACCAAGCCCUUCUGAUUUACCUGAAUUGGUCAUUCUAGUUUACAUGGAUUUAUGGACUAUUUUCAAAAAGACAAAGUUGUGUUGGUUGAAAGGGUAUGCGUGGUCUCAGUGAAGGUCUUGAUGAAAAAGUCUGGGUGACUUUUUAUACUUAAGCUUUGACAGAAAUAAUUCAUAAUUGUAUUUUGGGUGCUUGGAUGUGGACAUCAGUUUGUUUCAUCAGGUUUAUUUUUACAUUUGUGGUAGCCAUUCUUUGUCCCAAGAUAUAUGUCUUAAACUUUAAUAAACUCAUUCUGAAAUUCCACUUCAAUUUUUAUCAGAAAUGUUUCUUCAAUAUGUAUGACUUUUGGCCAGGCGUGGUUGCUCACAUAUAUAAUCCCAGAACUUUGGGAGGCCAAGGCAGGUGGAUCACUUGAGACCAGGAGUUCGAGACCAGCCUGACCAAUAUAGUGAAACCCCACCUCUACUAAAAACAUGAAAAUUAGGCAGAUGUGGUGGCAUGUGCUUGUAAAUCCAGCUACUUGGGAAACUGAGGCAUGAGAAUCACUCAAACAUAGGAGGCGGAGGUUGCAGUGAGCUGAGAUCAUGCCACUACAUUCCAGCCUGGGUGAUAGAGUGAGACUCCAUCUCAAAAAAAAUAAAUACACACACACACACACACACACACACACACACUUAUGAUUUUUGUUUUGUCUUGUUUUGUUUUUCAAAGACAGUCUCACUCUGUUGCCCAGGCUGGAGUGCAGAGGUGUGAUCAUGGCUUACUGAAGCCUAAACCUCUUGGGUUCCAGCAAUUCUCCUCCUUCAGUUCCCAAGUAGCUGGGACUACAGGUACACAUCACUAUGCCCAGCUAAUUAAAAAAAUAUUUCUUGUAGAGAUGUGGUCUUGCUGUAUUGCAGCUGGUCUUGAACUCCUGAACUCAAAUGAUCCUCCCCACUUGACUGCCCAGAGCGCUGGGAUUACAGGUGUGAGCCACCACACCCAGCCUGUAUAAUGUUAAAGGCACCCUGCUAAGCACUUAAAUAGAUACACAGUUGAAUAAAACACAGCCCUGUCUUCAUGGAGCUUGUAAAUUUAAAGUGGAGGAGAUGGGUGAAAGAGGAAUUGGACAUAAUAGACACAGACAUCAGUAGCUAUAAGGCAAUAACGACUGUUACCUAUGUCAAAGCAGGCUGUUUAUGAACCUCUCGCAGCUCUCUGAAUGGAACCUUUGACUCCCUCCUCUUCCACAUCCCCCCAAUCUCCUUCUAUCUAAAUCCUACCCAUUACAUAAACUUACAGCCUCAUAAGAUCCUUCUGUAGCACAUGAUCUCUUUGGAACCUCUCCAGUCUUCAUUCUCUUCAGUAUGUUGGAAGUUAUUAUUAGGGGCUAAAUAGUAUGUUCACUACACCCUGACUCUCCUGGCUCAGUGGAAAUUGCUCAGGGAGAUCCUGGACUGUGGGAAUUUGCUGGAACUACUGGGCACCUGGACCCCUGUUCCUGCUCAGAUGCUUACCCACCAAGCUCUCAUUGAUGACCUCAUUCAGGCUGGAAUGUGCAUGCAUGUGCAUGUACAUGUGCACGUGUGUGUGUGGCGUCACACACAUGUGCACACACCAGAGGGAGGAAGGUAACUCUGAUGGGCUUUCCCACCUUUCAUUCCCUCUCCUGCCUUCCUGUCCACAGCUGCCUCUCAAAAUCCAGGUGGGGGACUGCCCCACACCACGAAGGUGUUGAUGGGAUCCCACAUCUUUAGCCCUUUCUCCAGCAGCCCUGUCCUGGGGAGAUGCUCUGUGGCUAGAGCUGCAUGAGAGGGCAUGUUGUCCUAGAAAUCCUGUCCCUAGCGGUAGGUUUGGGCACAGAAGCUUAUGCCCCCAUUCCCUCUGCCCUGAUUCCAGGGGUGGUAGGGAUCAAAUCUCAACCUUUUCUCAUCUGCCUGUUAUCAGAGUCAGUGCUUUCCUGUCACCCAAAGGUCCUCAUCAGACACCUCUGGCCUGCAGCCCCAGUGCCGUAGGGGUAGUGAUAAACUCUUACUGCCUUCAGCCUACAGACCCUGCCAAAAACCUCUGAUUCUUAUCAGAGGCUGAAGGACAGGUUUUACCAGAAGUUCCUAUUCCCCAGCUUGAAAAACAAGUUCAUCCACUCCUUCGCUCCACACACUGGGGUUCUGUCCUAUUCUUGAGAAAAGGUCAAGCACCCCACCUCCAUAAUGACUCUAGAAAUCACAGUGAGGUCCCAGUGUGGGUGCUGGCCCCUACAGGGAUUUUGUUUUUUGUUUUUGUUUUUGUUUUUGUUUUGAGACUGAGUCUCACUCUGUCACCCAGACUGGAGUGCAGUGGCGAUCUUCACUCACUGCUACCUCUGCCUCCUGGGUUCAAGCACCUACAGUGAUUCCAACCAGCUGUGACAGGGGCCUGGGGCUGAAUGGUUUCCUGUGACUUGAGAUUUUCAGCGCUAAAACUAAGAAAGCCCCAACCAAACUGAGAAGAAUUGAUCCUACGACCUAGAAUGAAUCUCUGGACCUUGUAAACCAGUUACCCACCCUCCACGGGACCUAUAGCUUAGCAAAAGCCCAUAAGAGGACAAAGAAAAAGUGAGAUCCGGAACAACAGGCUGCAGCUGUCCUUUGCCUUAUUCAGAACUUUUGCUGUGUUCAGAACUGUCGUGUGCACAUAGGAUAGUCUUUGCUCCCCUAAACUUGGAUGGGGAAGGAGCAAGGAGGAACAGGAGUUGCUGGCAUCCCAAAAGAGUCUGUGGCUGCAUCUCUGGGCCAUAUUUUAUUUUUCUGGAAUCCUUAAUGGCACAGUAUCUAAAGAAAGAUCAUGCACGUGCUCUGGGACCCUUAACUGUUUUAAAAUGUCUAUCUUCUGGGUACGGUGGCUCACGCCUGUAAUCCUUGCACUUUGGGAGACCAAGGUGGGUGGAUCACCUUCACCUGAGGUCAGGAAUUUGAGACCAGCUGGCCAACAUGGUGAAAGCUUGCCUCUACUAAAAACAGAAAAAUCAGCCGGGCUUGGUGGUGCAUGCCUGUAGUCUCAGCUACUUGGGAGGCUGAAGCAGGAGAAUUGCUUGAACCCGGGAGGUAGAGGUUGCAGUGAGCCGAGACCACACCAUUGCAUUUCAGCCUGGGCAACAGAGUGAAAUCCCAUCUAAAAAAACAGAAACAAAAACAAAAAAUCUCUACCUCUAUGUAGAGUGGCCCAAGAACAUGCCGUGAUUUGGACCAAAUCACCGGGCUUGCCUCCUCUGGGGAGAUGUGAGUUUCCUCUGUCUUAGAAGCCACUGCUGUGUAAGUAUCCACAGGAUUUGUGGGCAAGAGAUCUGAGCUUUAAUCUUUUUAAAGAUCUCUGUGAUUGACUCAGGGAAAAACAUUUAAUUUCUCAGCUCUUCACCUGUAAAAUUGAUUGAACUAAGCUUCUGUGAUUACGAUUUCUUCUGGCUUUGAGAUUCAUCUCUUUCCCUCUACACACACACACACACACACACACACACACACACCCCUUAUCCCACUGUAUUUCUGGCCAUUAACGUUCAGUGUCAUACCAAGCCUUAUUGGAGACUGGGGUCAAAAGAAAAAAAUUAGUAAUACGAGUCUUCUCUUUAUGUAAAAUAUUUUGUUCAUCAUGGGCUUUCUUUUAUUACAUUAACUCAGAUUUUUAAAAUAUUGCAUUAAAACGUUAAUCUUAAUCUGUAGACAUGGAAAAAGACCCAGAAGUCCCUGGAUGUGCUGGCUGCCAGCCUGAUGAAAUAUAGUGUGGAGAGCUGGAACACAAGGUCCCUGCUGACACUGAAUUACUGAAGAAAACUCCCCCUUCUCUGGCCACUGUGUGGCCUGCAAAGCAUAAAAUAUGUACUAUCGGGCACUUUACAGAAAAAGUUUGCUAACCUCUUAUACCAAGCAAUUCUGAGCCGAAUUUCCUGUUACUUGUAACCAUAAAAAUUCUAAGUAUUACACUCCCCUAAACCCUGGCAGCACCAAACUACUUGAUGAUACUCAAAGAGGAAAUGUAUAAGGCCAUCAUCAAUUUAUUCAUGCUGUUUCCUCUGCCUAAAAUGCAACUCCCUCCACGUGACUAUACAGUUGCCCCUCAGUAUCCAGCGGGCAUUGGUUUCACAACCUCCCACGGA